rnacentral:rRNA from 2 species
CAGUAACGGCGAGUGAAGCGGCAACAGCUCAAAUUUGAAAUCUGGCUCCUUCGGGGUCCGAAUUGUAAUUUGUAGAGAGUGCUUCGGGCGAGACCUCGGUCUAAGUCCAUUGGAACAUGGUGUCAUAGAGGGUGAGAAUCCCGUAUGCGACCGUGGCUCGAGCCCAUGUGAAGCCUCUUCGACGAGUCGAGUUGUUUGGGAAUGCAGCUCAAAACGGGUGGUAAAUUUCAUCUAAAGCUAAAUACUGGCUGGAGACCGAUAGCGCACAAGUAGAGUGAUCGAAAGAUGAAAAGCACUUUGGAAAGAGAGUCAAACAGUACGUGAAAUUGUUGAAAGGGAAGCGCUUGCAACCAGACCUGCCCGUAGGCGAUCAGCCGCUGUUCUCAGCGGUGCACUCGCUCUGCGAUCAGGCCAGCAUCGGUUUCGGCGGUCGGAUAAAGGCCUUGGGAAUGUAGCUUCCCUUCGGGGGAGUCUUAUAGCCCUCGGUGUAAUGCGGCCAGCCGAGACCGAGGACCGCGCUUCGGCUAGGAUGCUGGCGUAAUGGUUGUAAGCGACCCGUCUUGAAACACGGACCAAGGAGUCUAACAUCUAUGCGAGUGUUUGGGUGUCAAACCCAUACGCGGAAUGAAAGUGAACGGAGGUGAGAACCCUUAAGGGCGCAUCAUCGACCGAUCCAGAUGUCUUCGGAUGGAUUUGAGUAUGAGCAUAGCUGUUGGGACCCGAAAGAUGGUGAACUAUGCCUGAAUAGGGUGAAGCCAGAGGAAACUCUGGUGGAGGCUCGCAGCGGUUCUGACGUGCAAAUCGAUCGUCAAAUUUGGGUAUAGGGGCGAAAGACUAAUC